AAAAACAUUUCUUACAAAAUUAUUUUAAGUAAAAUCUGCUCCAUGAUAUAUAAAUAGCCGCAGAAAUUUAACUGUGCUAAGGUAGCAUAAUCAUUUACCUUCUAAUUAAAGGUCUGUAUGAACGAUUUUACAUUUAAAUUACUUUUUUAUUAACUUCUAUAAAAUUUAAAUUAAACAUAAAAAUGUUUUUAUUCUUAAAAAAGACGAUAAGACCCUAUUGAACUUAACCUACGUUAAGCUGGGGAAGCUAAUUAAAUACAAUUUUAAUUAAUAUACAGAAAUUAAUUUCUAAUACAGUUACAUUAAUAAGUUACCAUAGGGAUAACAGCGUAAUAUAAUUUUAAAGCUCAUAUUAAAAAUUAAGCUUACGACCUCGAUGUUGAAUU
rnacentral:rRNA from 1 species